rnacentral:rRNA from 1 species
GAUGAACGCUGGCGGCGUGCCUAAUACAUGCAAGUCGAGCGAACAGAUGAGGAGCUUGCUCCUCUGACGUUAGCGGCGGACGGGUGAGUAACACGUGGAUAACCUACCUAUAAGACUGGGAUAACUUCGGGAAACCGGAGCUAAUACCGGAUAAUAUAUUGAACCGCAUGGUUCAAUAGUGAAAGACGGUUUUGCUGUCACUUAUAGAUGGAUCCGCGCCGCAUUAGCUAGUUGGUAAGGUAACGGCUUACCAAGGCAACGAUGCGUAGCCGACCUGAGAGGGUGAUCGGCCACACUGGAACUGAGACACGGUCCAGACUCCUACGGGAGGCAGCAGUAGGGAAUCUUCCGCAAUGGGCGAAAGCCUGACGGGGCAACGCCGCGUGAGUGAUGAAGGUCUGCGGAUCGUAAAACUCUGUUAUUAGGGAAGAACAAAUGUGUAAGUAGCUAUGCACGUCUUGACGGUACCUAAUCAGAAAGCCACGGCUAACUACGG